UGCGUAGGUGGUGAGGUAAGUCGGAUGUGAAAGCUCCGAGCUCAACUCGGAAAUGGCAUUGGAAACUACCUUGCUAGAGGGUUUGAGGGGGGACUGGAAUACUUGGUGUGGCAGUGAAAUGCGUAGAUAUCAAGUGGAACACCAGUGGCGAAGGCGAGUCCCUGGAAAACUCCUGACACUGAGGCACGAAAGCUGGGAGCAAACA
rnacentral:rRNA from 1 species